GAUGAACGCUGGCGGCGUGCCUAAUACAUGCAAGUCGAGCGAACGGACGAGAAGCUUGCUUCUCUGAUGUUAGCGGCGGACGGGUGAGUAACACGUGGAUAACCUACCUAUAAGACUGGGAUAACUUCGGGAAACCGGAGCUAAUACCGGAUAAUAUUUUGAACCGCAUGGUUCAAAAGUGAAAGACGGUCUUGCUGUCACUUAUAGAUGGAUCCGCGCUGCAUUAGCUAGUUGGUAAGGUAACGGCUUACCAAGGCAACGAUGCAUAGCCGACCUGAGAGGGUGAUCGGCCACACUGGAACUGAGACACGGUCCAGACUCCUACGGGGGGCAGCAGUAGGGAAUCUUCCGCAAUGGGCGAAAGCCUGACGGAGCAACGCCGCGUGAGUGAUGAAGGUCUUCGGAUCGUAAAACUCUGUUAUUAGGGAAGAACAUAUGUGUAAGUAACUGCGCACAUCUUGACGGUACCUAAUCAGAAAGCCACGGCUAACUACGUG
rnacentral:rRNA from 1 species